UUCAUCAACUAAGGGCUUACAUAUGGCAGAACUAAAACUGCCUAAGUGAUGAAACAUUCCAUAGAGACGUAAGUGCAAUUUGCGUAUUGCUAUUAAGAUAUUAAGAGCAAAAAAGCGUCUUAUAGCAAUUGCAAGAUGUUAAGAGUAAACAAAUUUGGGUAAAAUUCAGAUAUAAUUGCACUAUAUCUGUUUUUU
rnacentral:sRNA from 12 species